rnacentral:rRNA from 1 species
ACUUGGAGAUAGCUGGUUCUCUCCGAAAUAGCUUUAGGGCUAGCCUCAAGUGAUGAUUAUUGGAGGUAGAGCACUGUUUGGACGAGGGGCCCCUCUCGGGUUACCGAAUUCAGACAAACUCCGAAUGCCAAAUAAUUUAACUUGGGAGUCAGAAUGUGGGUGAUAAGGUCCAUAUUCGAAAGGGAAACAGCCCAGACCACCAGCUAAGGUCCCAAAAUAUAUGUUAAGUGGAAAAGGAUGUGGCGUUGCCCAGACAACUAGGAUGUUGGCUUAGAAGCAGCCAUCAUUUAAAGAGUGCGUAAUAGCUCACUAGUCGAGUGACACUGCGCCGAAAAUGUACCGGGGCUAAACAUAUUACCGAAGCUGUGGAUUGUCCUUUGGACAAUGGUAGGAGAGCGUUCUAAGGGCGUUGAAGCAUGAUCGCAAGGACAUGUGGAGCGCUUAGAAGUGAGAAUGCCGGUGUGAGUAGCGAAAGACGGGUGAGAAUCCCGUCCACCGAUUGACUAAGGUUUCCAGAGGAAGGCUCGUCCGCUCUGGGUUAGUCGGGUCCUAAGCUGAGGCCGACAGGCGUAGGCGAUGGAUAACAGG